CUGGAAUUACAGGUGUGCACCACCGUGCCCGGCCAGAUCUUCAUAUAUCUAAAAAAUGUAUGUUUAACUUUGUGAUUGUUGAGCUAUUUGCUAUCCAAGGAAUUAACGGCGGAGUUGCAUGUCAUAGUAGCAACUGUGGGUUUGUUUGCAGGCUUCCCAAAAGUUGUUUGGUAGUAUACAGGCAUGAGGUGGUGUGACUCCAACUCAUUAGAUGCCUUCGUCUUUUCAGUUAUGUUCCUGUCAAGAGAUUAUAACAAACCUAACAAUGGUCAUUAUCAGGAGCUGUUUUUGGUAUCCAGGUUCCAGCCAGAAGAUCAUGUUGAACUUCAUAAUGACCAUUAAUGGGGGCUUUGCUUGUAGACAAGUGAUUAUGUGGGCCUUAAGCAUCCUACAGAUCAUGUGAUCUUCACAUAUCUUGGAGCAGCAGGACAUCUGGGGUUGAGAAGAUGGAGAGAGCAUCUUUAUAUAACGUUGCAAUCUGG